rnacentral:rRNA from 1 species
CCUACGGGUGGCAGCAGUGGGGAAUAUUGCACAAUGGGGGAAACCCUGAUGCAGCGACGCCGCGUGAGUGAAGAAGUAAUUCGUUAUGUAAAGCUCUAUCAGCAGGGAAGAAAAUGACGGUACCUGAGUAAGAAGCCCCGGCUAACUACGUGCCAGCAGCCGCGGUAAUACGUAUGGGGCAAGCGUUAUCCGGAUUUACUGGGUGUAAAGGGAGCGUAGACGGCAGUGCAAGCCUGAAGUGAAAGGCCGGGGCUCAACCCCCGGACUGCUUUGGGAACUGUCGGGCUGGAGUGCAGGAGAGGUAAGUGGAAUUCCUAGUGUAGCGGUGAAAUGCGUAGAUAGUAGGAGGAACACCAGUGGCGAAGGCGGCCUACUGGACUGUAACUGACGCUGAGGCUCGAAAGCGUGGGGAGCAAACAGGAUUAGAUACCCGAGUAGUC